AUAGUACGUGAAACCGUUCAGGGGUAAACCUGAGAAACCCAAAAGAUCGAAUGGAGAGAUUCAUCGUCAACAGCUUUGGCUUACGUGUGGUUUGCGAUGUACAUUAAACUUGUUUCGUGUGUACGCUAUCACUGCGUUAUGUCUGAAAUUGUCGGCGUGCACUUCUCUCCUAGUAGGACGUCGCGACCCGUUGGGUGCCGGUCUACGGCCCGGUAGGUCGUCUGACACGUUAACCUUAAUCGGAAAAUUGGUCAGACCUCUGGAUGCCCGACCGGCCGCCCGGCGGU
rnacentral:rRNA from 1 species